rnacentral:rRNA from 1 species
UACGGGGGGUGCGAGCGUUGUUCGGAAUCACUGGGCGUAAAGAGCGCGUAGGCGGUCUAUUAAGUCAGGUGUGAAAGCCCUGGGCUUAACCCCGGAAGUGCACUUGAAACUAAGAGACUUGAGUAUGGGAGAGGGAAGCGGAAUUCCUGGUGUAGAGGUGAAAUGCGUAGAUAUUAGGAGGAACACCGGUGGCGAUGGCGGUUCUCUGGAUCGAUACUGACGCUGAGGCGCGAAGGCGUGGGGAGCAAACAGG